CUGAAAAUAAACUGCGAAAAACAAAUAAGUGUAAAAAUAAGAUAAAUUAUAAAAACACAUUAAAAGGGAAAAAUAACCAAACUAAAACAUGGAAAUUCAUAAGUAUAAAUAUAGAAGAAUGUGCAACAAAAUGCACUGAUCAAAUUCCCCCACACUUGAACUUUUGCACUCCGAGCAAAAUUUAAAAUAAAACGAAGAAAACACAAACACAUCAUUAGUUACUGAUCCUAGGCUACAAGUCUUCUUCGGUUAAGUUUGCAUCGAUAGGUACUAAUCUUGCACACUAAGGAUAUCAUAGGAACACGAAUCCAUAAUUGUGCAGUCAUAAAUCUCCUGAAUACACAAAUCAACUCGAAUCAUGUUAUUAUGUUAAAGCCUAACUUGCUCAUCCUUCUUUUUGCUCUUUUUCAUUCAGGCGCAAUCACAUUAAGCCCGUUAUCUCCACACACCCACAUCAAGGCGACCGGUUAGUGACUCUGAUCCUUUUUGCACGGGAUUCUAGUACUUACGUGGCAUAACCCUUUGCUUACUCAGUUGUAGUUGCGGGGGAUCGGACUGUAAUCCGCCCUACCAAGUUCAGCACCAGAAACUGCUGAACCAACUGACAACGAGUCUUAUUUUCAAUUUUUUUUAAGGUUCUACAUCCGUUGGGUUAAGUGACCGGGUGAGGGUCACCAAACUUAGAAGGUGAAUUCCCUUUUCUUUCUCAUUUUUUUUCUUUUUCGGAACACUCACUUAUAUUCAUCGGCUUCCCUGCGUAAAGUGUGUGUGAGAUGAUGCUGACUGUUGAAAUAAACUACUCAAGAGCUGUCAGAGAAUGAGAAUUUAAGGCUAAAACAUAAUAAGAAUUCGAAUCAAUUUCCAUAUGCAGGAGACUUACGGUGU
rnacentral:lncRNA from 1 species